rnacentral:lncRNA from 1 species
UUCUCCCUCUGCCUCACCAUCGUGUUCCUGCUGCAGCUGGCUGCUGGCAUCCUGGGCUUCGUUUUCUCAGACAAGGCUCGGGGGAAAGUGAGUGAGAUCAUCAACAAUGCUAUCGUGCAUUACCGAGAUGAUCUGGAUCUGCAGAACCUCAUCGACUUUGGCCAGAAGAAGGUACCAGCCAAGUGCGCUGUGACCACCCAGUGCCCUGGGGGAGGGGCAAAAAAUGCCUCUCUCUAGGCCUGUGGCUCUCUUUUACCCGAUAAGUAAUGUGUUCUAGGAAGGGCUUUGGGGGCACAGUUGGGGGGCGGCAUGUACUAAGGGCAUAGGAUGCUACAUAUAGCAUUGCAUAUAUGGGUAAUAUAUAUACAUAUACAUAUGUACAUACGUACUUAUAUAC